rnacentral:rRNA from 1 species
GGAAUGAGUAGCGCGAAUGCAGUGAGAAUCUGCAUGGCCGAAAGCCUCAGGUUUUUGGAGGAAGGUUCGUCCGCUCCAAGUUAGUCGGGAGCUAAGGUGAGGCCGGAAGGCGUAGCCGAUGCACAGACGGUAGAGAUUCCGUCACCACCAAAAGAGUUAAGCACAGGGACACAUUUGAAGUCUCAGAGCCGGGUGUUGGUUCCGGUAGAGAUCGAGGGAAGUUAGUACCGAAGUCUGGGAUGGAAGAUGGCGAGAAAAGCUGUGUGUAUUUCUGAGGUGCCCGUACCGCAAACCGACACAGGUAGGUAGGAAGAAGAUUCUAAGGCCAACGGGAGAAGGGUUGUUAAGGAACUCGGCAAAUUGACCCCGUAACUUCGGGAGAAGGGGUGCUCCAGAGAUGGAGCCGCAGAGAAUCGGCCCAAGCAACUGUUUACCAAAAACACAGGUUUGUGCUAAAUCGAAAGAUGACGUAUACGAGCUGACGCCUGCCCGGUGCUGGAAGGUUAAAAGGAGAUGUGCAAGCAUUGAAUUGAAGCCCCAGUGAACGGCGGCCGUAACUAUAACGGUCCUAAGGUAGCGAAAUUCCUUGUCAGGUAAGUUCUGACCCGCACGAAAGGCGUAAUGAUUUGGGCACUGUCUCAACAGCCCGCCCGGCGAAAUUGUAGUACCGGUGAAGAUGCCGGUUACCCGCGACAAGACGGAAAGACCCCAUGGAGCUUUACUGUAGCCUAAUAUUGGGUUUCGAUGUUGCAUGCACAGGAUAGAUGGGACACUGGGAAACAAUCGCUUUGGCGGUUGCGGAGUGGCCGUUGGGAUACCAUCCUUGCGAUAUUGGAAUUCUAACCUGCGGCUCUGAAUCGAGUCGGGGGACAUUGUUAGGUGGGCAGUUUGACUGGGGCGGUCGCCUCCUAAAAAGUAACGGAGGCGUUCAAAGGUUCGCUCAGCUUGAACGGAAAUCAAGCAAAAGAGUGCAAACGCAGAAGCGAGCCUAACUGCGAGACUGACGGGUCGAGCAGUAACGAAAGUUGGAGUUAGUGAUCCGGUGGUAUGUGAGUGGAAAUGCCAUCGCUCAACGGAUAAAAGCUACCCUGGGGAUAACAGGCUGAUCUCCCCCAAGAGUCCACAUCGACGGGGAGGUUUGGCACCUCGAUGUCGGCUCAUCGCAUCCUGGGGCUGUAUUCGGUCCCAAGGGUUUGGCUGUUCGCCAAUUAAAGCGGUACGCGAGCUGGGUUCAGAACGUCGUGAGACAGUUCGGUCCCUAUCUGUCGUGGGCGCAGGAUAUUUGAUGGGAGCUGUCCCUAGUACGAGAGGACCGGGACGGACGUACCUCUGGCGCACCAGUUGUUCCGCCAGGAGCAUAGCUGGGCAACUACGUACGGAUCGGAUAAACGCUGAAAGCAUCUAAGCGUGAAGCCGACCCAAAGAUAAGAUGUCCCAUUGUUUUAAACAAGUAAGACCCCUUGAAGACUACAAGGUUGAUAGGCACGAUGUGUAAGUGGAGUGAUCCAUUCAGCAAGCGUGUACUAAUAGGUCGAGGGCUUGACCA